UUGGCUGGUACUUUUCCGCUCUCCAUUUUAUCACUCUCCAAGCGAUGAUGCACCUCGCACACUACUCCUGGCCUUGAAAAAGAUCCCAGAAACGCGUUGGUAUUUGUGUGGACUAUCCGGUAGAUGGUGAAGGAUUCUGGAGCCAUUGCCUGACUGGGAGCCAUGCCGUGGUUGUGACCCGGGACACCCGCAGGUGGUCCCCACAUCAGUGCCCAACAAAGAGCUUGUAACCAUUAAAGUCAUAAAAAAGAGCUAACACCAACAGUCUUAUGAUGGAGCAGAGAAUUAUCAUAGAGGAACGAGGAUGUCCCUACGGCUACAUUUAUGAAGCAGCAUUUUCCAAACCACUACGUCAUCAGUGGUUUCAGCUGUCGGCGUUAUAGUGACUUUGUAUUUAAUAUAAUUGACCCUCCAAACCCACUGAAGACAUGGCAGCUUAGAAAAGUAGCGCUUAGUGUUAUCAACAUCUCUGAUUACAUUCCCUGCUAUGAUA